rnacentral:rRNA from 1 species
AAUAGAUACCCUGGUAGUCCACGCCGUAAACGAUGAGUGCUAAGUGUUGGAGGGUUUCCGCCCUUCAGUGCUGCAGCUAACGCAUUAAGCACUCCGCCUGGGGAGUACGGUCGCAAGACUGAAACUCAAAGGAAUUGACGGGGGCCCGCACAAGCGGUGGAGCAUGUGGUUUAAUUCGAAGCAACGCGAAGAACCUUACCAGGUCUUGACAUCUCCUGACCGCCCUGGAGACAGGGUCUUCCCUUCGGGGACAGGAUGACAGGUGGUGCAUGGUUGUCGUCAGCUCGUGUCGUGAGAUGUUGGGUUAAGUCCCGCAACGAGCGCAACCCUUGGUUCUAGUUGCCAGCAUUCAGUUGGGCACUCUAGAGCGACUGCCGGCGACAAGUCGGAGGAAGGUGGGGAUGACGUCAAAUCAUCAUGCCCCUUAUGACCUGGGCUACACACGUGCUACAAUGGAUGGUACAAAGGGCAGCGAAGCGGCGACGCAUGAGCGAAUCCCAGAAAACCAUUCUCAGUUCGGU